GUUUCCCACCCCCUGAAUUUUCAUAUGCAAUUGAAGAAAAAUACCAUCUAACCCACUGAAUGUUUUGGGAAGCAGAGUGAGAGCAGGCUUGGCUGUUGCAGAGGGGACAUGGAAAGCAAAGGCUGACAGUGGAAGUGGUGCCUCACAGUGUGGCUGUGGGGCAGUGGGACCAGACAGCCACAUGGUGCCCAUCCUCCCUCUUCUGGUCUCCUCCUCGCUGCUGCUGAUUCCAGGCUUAUCCCUCACUCAGGAGAGGACUUCUGGUGCUCCCAGUGCUAUCCUUGCUGAUUGCAAUGAUACUCUUCAGAAGAAUAAAAAAGGAAGAUAAGCCCCAGCUGCAACUUCAAGGAAUGGCUCAAUGCUUCAUUCAUGGCUUGAAAGAACAGCAUUGCUAUCCACAGUGGCAGUUUGUGUCUAUGAACCUUCUUAGAUGGCUCUCAUGCUCAGAUUUCUGUGCUGCAGCUCAUUAGCAGGAGAGCUGCCUGUGGGGCUGCAGCAGGUUUGUAGUACAGCAGGAUGUGCACUAAAAUAAAAAUCAGGUUAGGAGUGGUGUUAUCCCAGUGCUGCCUGGGCACUGGCAAUUAAACCUGGAUGAGAAUAAAACACCUGGACUUUGUGACUCGAGGGAUGAACGUUCUGCUUGCUGAGGGCUGUUCCUGCCCAAGAAAGCACUAAAACAGGUGUAUAAAUCCUACCUUGUUCAGUGGGAUUUAGGCACCUGCUUAAACUUAAGUGCUUGUUUAGAGAGUUUCCUGAAUGAAAGCCUGACAAUUGUGCCCGAGAGUAACUUUUAAAUUAGUUUUAAUUUGCUCAUCAUAACCAGCUGUCAUGAGUAUGUGCGUAAAGAAAGGGUUUGAUUCUGGAAAGACGAAAGGCUUUUCAGGACCUGGGCUUUUAUGUACGCACCCUUGCUGGACAGCCAACCUGCUUUUAUUGUGUGUUGCUCUGGGGUCCCACUGGAGCUGCAGUGCCAGCCCAGCCAACUGCCCUGCCAGCAGCUGACACCACCCACCUGCACCUCACCAGCAGAGUCCCAUCAGAGGCAAUCUGCAGGCUGCAGCAGAGGAGGAGAAAGUCCAUGCUGUAGGAUGGGCUCUAGUAAACGGAUACAUUUACAAGAGGCCAAGGAUACAGUGGUGGAUCUUGCUUGUCAUUGGUGAAAAAGUCCAGAGAGAGCAGAGCCCCAAAGGUAACAGUUUUAUCAAGUUUUCCUGUUGACCAGAUGACAGUUCAGUGAUAAAUAAAUGGAGUGUGCUUGAGCUGGAGGCCUCCCA
rnacentral:lncRNA from 1 species